UCCAAUGUGGUGUAGUGGCUAACAUUGCUGUCUUUCAUAUUUGCUCCUGAUCACAGCAGCCCGGGGUUCGAUUCCCCGCAUUGGAA